UGACUAGAACCUUGACUCUGC
rnacentral:miRNA from 1 species